rnacentral:rRNA from 1 species
UACAGAGGGUGCGAGCGUUAAUCGGAAUUAUUGGGCGUAAAGGGUGCGUAGGCGGUUUGGUAAGUCUUGUGUGAAAUCUACAGGCUCAACUUGUAGUCUGCACGAGAAACUGCCGGGCUUGAGUAUGGGAGAGGUGAGUGGAAUUCCUGGUGUAGCGGUGAAAUGCGUAGAUAUCAGGAGGAACACCUGUGGCGAAAGCGGCUCACUGGACCAUAACUGACGCUGAUGCACGAAAGCUAGGGGAGCAAACAGG